GUUACGCAUGUACGCGAGGCACGGUGUCGGCCGCCGCCGCCAAACGCCCGGAUGGCUUUUCGCCUCUUCGCCUCGAUCGCGAUCGCCAGAACAAGUUGAACAACGGCGGACAAGGGACGGCCACCGAGCAUUCGCUACAACUUUAGCUGAAGACGCCCCAUCAACGAUUUCGAGAAGGGCAUCGAUAAUUGAUUGACUGGCCAUGGUUACUGUGGAUUUUGGAGGCUUUGUCAUUUGUGAAAUCAAUGUGAUAAUUAAUAAGAUUUCUUGUCCAGUUAAUAUAGAAUUUUUCAAAUACUAGGGGCAGGUCCAUGGGGACAUUGAUGUGAUGCUUACGAAAAAUAUAUAAAUAAUAAUAAUAUAAUGUGGCAUCUGUCUAAGAGUUACUA